UUUCUGUCUCAGUCUCUCUGUCUCCCUUCGUUCUCUUUCUCUCCCCCUGCUACCCCCCCCCACAGUUACACACACACACACACACACACACACACACACACACACACACACGCAGUGUGAAAGAUGCGAGCCAUAGCAUCUCGUAACAUGAAGGCCAUCCAGCUCCAUCCUCCCACUGCUGCUUGAACAAUAUGCUUAACACGUAGUGCCGCAGUCGCUGCUUGGAUUGAAUGUGUUCAUGCACAGAUUUUAUCAUCUUGUUACUCAAACGACUGAUGGCUUCUGACCCUGCCUGAAAAUUUCCUAAGAGGUAACAGUUCUAGGACACAGAUGCUGGAGGGAGUGGAGGAAGAAGUUUAAUUACCACAUACAGCUCUUCCAUAUGCAAGGUCUCUGGGGCAAAACUGUCAUUCUGUCUGAAGCCAGACCCUCAAUGUCAGACUAAGAGAGUCGGAUGGAGACUACAUCUUCUGUGUGUGUUGCAAUGGGAGGACUUCUCUCCACCGAGUUUAGUGAGGGGGUAGCAGAGGUGGAAGAGCAGACAGAUGUGGCAAUAUGGUGAUAAGGUGAACCCUACACAGGUCUGCUCACCACAAGGAGGCAGAAAGCAGGAAAAGCAGAAAGUGCCAAAGGAGAGGAUAUACAAGAUGUCUUAAUGAGGAGUUACUGAUCCAGUCAUGGCCAGUGCAACACUGUCUCACAUGUCUGAAUGCUGUGCUGCACUGUUGACUGUCACUGUUGGGGAUAUUGGAAGAUCACAAGAAACUCCUGAUCCUGAAUACUGGCCUGAGCCUCUUUUGGAAGAGGCCUUCCAGAACCCUACUCUUGCUAGAACUGAAUGCCAGAGCUGUGUAAUGGGGACAUCCUGUUGUGAACUUAUGUCCUUUCUGGACAAAUGUAUUCAAUUUGAGGCAGCAUGCCCAAUGGUUAGCCACUCAACCUCUGAACCCAAACCCCCAGCUCUACUGCUUAAUAGCUAUAUAACCUUGAGAAAAUUCAUUAAUAUUCCUGUACUUCAAUUUUAUCAUGUAUAAAAUAAGGAUAAUAAUUUUACAUGUCUUAUGGGGUUGUUAUGAUGAUUAAAUGGGUUAACAUUUCUAAAAAAUACUUGAACAGUGCCUGAUACAUUGUAAAUGCAUAUAUAUGUGUUUUUAAAAAUAGACAAUUAUAUACCAUUAAAUGUUAACCUGGCUUUGAUGCAGCUAGUUGAUCAAAUAAUCUAAAUCUUUGUAAUUGGAUAGUAAUAGAAAAGAAGGAAGAGAAAGAGAAUAUGCAUGUUUACAAAAGCAAAAGCCUAGGCUUUGGAUGUGGUGAGGACAGACAUCUCUGAGAUGUCCUUAAUUUUAUCCACUUCCAUUGAAUGUUAUUUGCGUUCACCUCUUGUGCAAAAUAAGAACCAAAAGGGAGUCUUCCUUAUUAU
rnacentral:lncRNA from 1 species